GUAACACGUGGCCAAACUACCCUUCGGAACACAAUACCCUCGGGAAACUGAGGCUAAUAGUGUAUAUCGUACCACCACUGGAAUGAGUGGUACGCCAAACGCUCCGGCGCCGAAGGAUGUGGCUGCGGCCGAUUAGGUAGACGGUGGGGUAACGGCCCACCGUGCCAAUAAUCGGUAUGGGUCAUGAGAGUGAGAACCCAGAGACGGAAUCUGAGACAAGAUUCCGGGCCCUACGGGGCGCAGCAGGCGCGAAACCUUUACACUGCACGACAGUGCGAUAGGGGGAUCCCAAGUGCACAGGCAUAGCGCCUGUGCUUUUCGGCACCCUAAGGCGGUGCCAGAAUAAGGGCUGGGCAAGACCGGUGCCAGCCGCCGCGGUAAUACCGGCAGCCCAAGUGAUGGCCGAUCUUAUUGGGCCUAAAGCGUCCGUAGCUGGCCGCGCAAGUCCAUCGGGAAAUCCACCUGCUCAACAGGUGGGCGCCCGGUAGAAACUGCGUGGCUUGGGACCGGAAGGCGCGACGGGUACGUCCGGGGUAGGAGUGAAAUCCCGUAAUCCUGGACGGACCGCCGAUGGCGAAAGCACGUCGCGAGAACGGAUCCGACAGUGAGGGACGAAAGCCAGGGUCUCGAACCGGAUUAGAUACCCGGGUAGUCCUGGCCGUAAACAAUGUCUGCUAGGUGUGGCUCCCACUACGAGUGGGUGCUGUGCCGUAGGGAAGCCGCUAAGCAGACCGCCUGGGAAGUACGUCCGCAAGGAUGAAACUUAAAGGAAUUGGCGGGGGAGCACUACAACCGGAGGAGCCUGCGGUUUAAUUGGACUCAACGCCGGACAUCUCACCAGCAUCGACUGUGAUAAUGACGAUCAGGUUGAUGACCUUAUCCGAGUUUCAGAGAGGAGGUGCAUGGCCGCCGUCAGCUCGUACCGUGAGGCGUCCUGUUAAGUCAGGCAACGAGCGAGACCCGCACCCUUACUUGCCAGCAGUACCGCGAGGUAGCUGGGGACAGUAGGGGGACCGCCGUGGCUAACACGGAGGAAGGAACGGGCAACGGUAGGUCAGUAUGCCCCGAAUGUGCUGGGCAACACGCGGGCUACAAUGGUCGAGACAAAGGGUUCCUACUCCGAAAGGAGACGGUAAUCUCAGAAACUCGAUCGUAGUUCGGAUUGUGGGCUGCAACUCGCCCACAUGAAGCUGGAUUCGGUAGUAAUCGCGUGUCACAAGCGCGCGGUGAAUACGUCCCUGCUCCUUGCACACACCGCCCAGA
rnacentral:rRNA from 1 species